rnacentral:rRNA from 1 species
GACGGAGGAUGCAAGUGUUAUCCGGAAUCACUGGGCGUAAAGCGUCUGUAGGUUGUUUAAAAAGUCCGCAGUUAAAGGUUGAAGCUUAACUUCAAAAAUGCCGUAGAAACUUUUAAACUAGAGGAUGGUAGGGGUAGAGGGAAUUUCCAGUGGAGCGGUGAAAUGUGUAGAUAUUGGAAAGACCACCGAUGGCGAAGGCACUCUACUGGGCCAUGACUGACACUGAGAGACGAAAGCUAGGGGAGCAAAUGGG